rnacentral:rRNA from 1 species
AUGAACGCUAGCGGCAGGCCUAACACAUGCAAGUCGAGGGGCAUCACGAGGUAGCAAUACUUUGGUGGCGACCGGCGCACGGGUGCGUAACGCGUAUGUAACCUACCUAUAACAGGGGCAUAACACUGAGAAAUUGGUACUAAUUCCCCAUAAUAUUCGGAGAGGCAUCUCUCCGGGUUGAAAACUCCGGUGGUUAUAGAUGGACAUGCGUUGUAUUAGCUAGUUGGUGAGGUAACGGCUCACCAAGGCAACGAUACAUAGGGGGACUGAGAGGUUAACCCCCCCACACUGGUACUGAGACACGGACCAGACUCCUACGGGAGGCAGCAGUGAGGAAUAUUGGUCAAUGGACGCAAGUCUGAACCAGCCAUGCCGCGUGCAGGAAGACGGCUCUAUGAGUUGUAAACUGCUUUUGUACGAGGGUAAACUCACCUACGUGUAGGUGACUGAAAGUAUCGUACGAAUAAGGAUCGGCUAACUCCGUGCCAGCAGCCGCGGUAAUACGGAGGAUUCAAGCGUUAUCCGGAUUUAUUGGGUUUAAAGGGUGCGUAGGCGGUUUGAUAAGUUAGAGGUGAAAUCCCGGGGCUUAACUCCGGAACUGCCUCUAAUACUGUUAGACUAGAGAGUAGUUGCGGUAGGCGGAAUGUAUGGUGUAGCGGUGAAAUGCUUAGAGAUCAUACAGAACACCGAUUGCGAAGGCAGCUUACCAAACUAUAUCUGACGUUGAGGCACGAAAGCGUGGGGAGCAAACAGGAUUAGAUACCCUGGUAGUCCACGCAGUAAACGAUGAUAACUCGUUGUCGGCGAUACACAGUCGGUGACUAAGCGAAAGCGAUAAGUUAUCCACCUGGGGAGUACGUUCGCAAGAAUGAAACUCAAAGGAAUUGACGGGGGCCCGCACAAGCGGAGGAACAUGUGGUUUAAUUCGAUGAUACGCGAGAAACCUUACCCGGGCUUGAAAGUUACUGACGAUUCUGGAAACAGGAUUUCCCUUUGGGGCAGGAAACUAGGUGCUGCAUGGUUGUCGUCAGCUCGUGCCGUGAGGUGUCGGGUUAAGUCCCAUAACGAGCGCAACCCCUACCGUUAGUUGCCAUCAGGUCAAGCUGGGCACUCUGGCGGGACUGCCGGUGUAAGCCGAGAGGAAGGUGGGGAUGACGUCAAAUCAGCACGGCCCUUACGUCCGGGGCUACACACGUGUUACAAUGGUAGGUACAGAGGGUCGCUACCCCGCGAGGGGAUGCCAAUCUCGAAAGCCUAUCUCAGUUCGGAUUGGAGGCUGAAACCCGCCUCCAUGAAGUUGGAUUCGCUAGUAAUCGCGCAUCAGCCAUGGCGCGGUGAAUACGUUCCCGGGCCUUGUACACACCGCCCGUCAAGCCAUGGAAGCUGGGGGUGCCUGAAGUUCGUGACCGCAAGGAGCGACCUAGGGCAAAACCGGUAACUGGGGCU